GCCCUGAUAGUAUAAACAUUACACUGGUCUUGUAAACCAGUAAUGAAAAACUUUUUUCUCAGGACA
rnacentral:tRNA from 1 species